UAUCUGAGCAGUGGGUGCCGGUUGAGGAGGAGACACUCAGAAUGCCAUUUUCAUCAGAUGACAAAGCAGGCAAACAGCUCCAGUUACAGAGCAGCACUGUGCUGACCUCACGGAGCUGCUGGCAUCAGAAGGUGGUGGUGUCUACUCUGCUGGAACUGUAAGAGCACUCUCAUGAAACCCUAACAGGAAGGCUCAGAGACUUCAGUCCCUGGAGGCAAAGGUCCCUGCCAGUCUCAUGCUACUACAGACUAUUUACAUCUCAGCUGAUGUGUCAUAAAGGAAACGUCACAUUCUGGGCCAGAGGCACACAGACUCCUCCUUGGAGAGGGGAUCCACACAAACAAAGGCAUGAAGCAGGGCUUACCUAAAGAAGGCAAGUAUCUGUGCUUCUCGGCCUUCCAAAGUUCUCUCCUCUUGCAGCUGUGGCUAGCUGGUCUCCAAAGGUCAGGACAAAAUUAGAAAAAAAGACUUCAUGCCUUUCAACAAGAGGAAGGAGAGAACUUUAAGAACUCUUCAGCAAGAACGGGGGUUCUUCUACACCUGCAGUCAUGGCUGCACAGAAACUCACAGGCUGGACCUUCUCCUCUUCAGCAGGGACAGAAUCUCUAGGGAGUGCCGUUACCCAGAUGCUGAAUCACAUGAGGUCUGCAUGAACCACCAUGGUGUAAUUAACACAAACUGCAUGCAUAAUCUUUGGGCAUGUCUUCAUUAAUGCUUAGCAAUAAAGAGCAAUUUAAUCUUGUUGCAAAUCGCUCUGUUCCACAUUUUUUGCUUCCAUGACAGCUGUGCAGCAUGGACAACUUUGUUGUGCUCCCACCUUAAACUACCAUUAACGUCCUGGAACCCCCACAUGUCCCUGAAAACCAUCUAGCCUACGUGUCAGGUGAGUUUUCAGUGAGAGCUGUUUGCAGGCUGGUAGCAGACAAGGCGCCCAGAGGAGGGUCCACCUCAGUGGCUCCGUUCUGCCACCUGCUGGCAACUUGUGCCCGGAGCACAAAUAGAAGAGCAGGUGCUGCCUGUGUGAGCUCCCUGUGACUGACAGGAGCUGCUGGAGCCCGAGGCUGAGGGGAAAGCUCAUGGGGACUGUGUCCUCCAAAAUAGGCCGGGGGCAAGGGGACAGGCGCAGCCACUCUCCCAGCUGAUGUCUCUGGGCCUUGACUUCCUCUGCCCUACUGCGUCCAGGCCUAGGGCCCCCAGCACAGGAAAGACAUGGAGCUCUUGGAACGGGUCCAGAGGAGGGCCACCAA